rnacentral:rRNA from 1 species
UACGGGGGGGGUAAGCGUUGUUCGGAAUGACUGGGCGUAAAGGGCUCGUAGGCGGCCAACUAAGUCAGACGUGAAAUCCCUCAGCUUAACUGGGGAACUGCGUCUGAUACUGGAUGGCUUGGAUUCGGGAGAGGAAUGCGGAAUUCCAGGUGUAGCGGUGAAAUGCGUAGAUAUCUGGAGGAACACCGGUGGCGAAGGCGGCAUUCUGGACCGACAUUGACGCUGAGGAGCGAAAGCCAAGGGAGCAAACGGG